CGCCUCGGCUGUUGACAGAUUGAGUCAUUACGUCACACUGCAAUAGGACGAUCUGCGCAGUCGGUCGUGACACAGGCGAGUAACAAUCCCACUAAAUAGAUUCAGACGGAGAUUCGUCUACACUACUUUGAACAGAACUCAAGUACCUCUGAGACUCUGAGGGGACAUUUUUCCCAAUCUGGUGCUGUGAACACUACAAGACUAUGGACCAAAAGGACAGGCCAAAAUUAUAUGCAAAUGCGGAUUAUGGAUUAAAACGAUCUCCGCCCGUUGCCGUAGGUAUUACGAGACCGAGAGCGGAAGCGCCGGACGCUCCAAGACCGAGACCGAAAGAGCCGGACGCUCCAAGACCGAAAUCUCCGAAAAUUGUGCAAGCAUGAAAUGAGAUACACUUUACUUUCUGCUUCACGCUCCGGAUCGCCACCUCAUCGGAACUGAAGGGCUUUGUGGCAACUGUAUAACUGUCAGAUUUACAAAAUGUAAUACCCCUGCGGAUUUAGAUCAAGGCAGUUAUAUGUUAGUACUGAUUAGUUUACUGCCAGCGUUGCUAACUUGUGACUAUUCGCCCGUUGAACGUGUCUCACGCUGUGUGAGUUCAACUUGUAUCUGCUUACUCAAAGCCUUCAUGCUUUAGCUUGGUUUAUUUUUAGUGUUUAUGAAUUCUUAAACAGACAGACAUAUAUUUUAUUUACUAAUUUUGGCACCAUGGCCCAAAGUACAAUACAGUUUGCAUAUCAACAUUUGUCAUGAUGUACAUUAAUAGAUUUUAAAGUUACACUUUUUUUAUUAUAAAGGUUUGUUUUAAAACUACAUCAACAGCAUGGAUGAUAUCAUGACUUCCUCAUAUUUACCGUUAACUGACGGUCUUUAAAAAUACCCUGCUACAAGGGGGGAAAUGUAUACCAUAAACGAGUAUAUUUUUCACAUAUAAGUAAAACAUGGUUUUCAUCCUCUUCGCCUCCUUGUAAACAAUUUGUACAAACAGAAUAAAAUAUCACCGUCUGUGAACCUGCGUCAUAUACUCAACUCCAAAAGAAACGAGAUGUUCGAUGGUUGAUAUCAUUAAACAGAAAUGAUGUAAAAUUAUAAA